AUUUUGUUGAAGAUCCCUGCCUACCUGAGGUCUUCUCAAGAUGUUGUCCAGUUCCUCCUCCCAGCCUCUUCCCCAGACCCUCAGCAUCAGCAGCUCUGAGAAGAGGCCUUUGUUGCCCUGAUAUUGGAGGUUGGAUAAUCUCAGUUGGCUGAGGUGUGUAAAUGAAGACCAUGGAGAACAAGUCCAGGUUAGAGGAUUCACCCCUGGAAAUUGCUGAUUUUGGUAGGCUUGUAUGAGAGGAGCCUUGUGAGUGCUGCUGGGGAGCCACUGCAGCAAUAGGAGCUCUGGCUCUGAGGAGCCCCUGAUGGAACAAAACGUUCCCUUUGUCCCUGGCGUGGGUUGAGAUAUGGCCAGGCGGUGAGCUGUUGACCCAGCACAGCAUGUCUGUGGAAUGGGAGGGAGAUUUUUUUGGACAAGAACUUUGAGAAAUUCUGCAGGAAAAAGUUCUACAAACAACUGGAUUUAAUCUCAGUUUCUGCUCAGAUGUGGAUACUCGUGGUUUGCAAAGUUUGUUCAAGAAGGGGUCAGUCUUGUAACCCAAUCAUGAUGGACACUGCAGGCAAUUUACUCCUUUAUGUAAAAAAGAUUUCAGGAGGGCAAAAUAGCUAUAAGCUGGCAGUAGAAGUGAACUCAGAACGUUGGCUGGCCUCUGUUUGUGGCAGUUUCAAUAACAAUAAAUGUGUGUAUUUUAUGCUCCCAGUAAUAACCCAAUUAGAGGCACUUUGAAAGGAGAUAGUGCUUGAUCUUUUCGUUGAGAAGUUGUCCAAAAUACAGGAAUGAAGAGAGAAAAGAACAUUUUUUUUUGGCACUCACAUCAUUAAUGCUGUUUGGACUGAGCAAACAGGCCUUGUCUCAAUGGGUUCUGACUCUCCUUUAUACCACUCAAGGAAGGAUUAGAGACGUACAUCUCAGGAAUUCUGUGCUCACAAAAUUUCUGAGUAUUUUUUUCUCUGUCUUGCCACAGCAGCAUAGAAAGCAUUUGUUAAAAACCUGUUAAGCUGUUAGGAUCUUUCUGGCUGAAGUUGCUAUUGGAAGAAAGAAGGCUUGCAGCAUUGAGAACUUCCCCCAACCCAUAUGGGUCUAUGCCUGGAGGUGCUAUUUAUGCAUUACUUACAUUGGUUUAAGUUUUUAAAUCUUACUAUUGUGUGCCUUCUCCAAAAAGCUCAUCCCUUGUUCAGUGAUAGUCUCAAGCUUCAGCUCUCUUGAACUGGGCCCACUUGUACUGAGAUUGAAUGUAAUUUUCUGAAGAAGUAAUGUCAAGAUGGUAUUGCACUGUUAGAAAAUGCUGAACAGUAUAAGGACAAGUAUGGGUUUAGGAUUGAGUGAGAAACUGUAGAAUUCGUUGAAAAUGUUGAGGUAAGAGAUGUGCUGAGAAGGAUUUGAAUGGUGGUGGAGUAUUAAAGGCAAAUACAUUUAUGCU
ensembl:lncRNA